AGGAAGUCAGACCUGCAAACACAAGGAGCAGAAUGAAUAUGAGACCUAAUAUAACCAGGUGAACAAAGGGUUUGACAAAAGUAUGUGUGGGAGGAAAAGAGUAAAAUGGGCGUGGAAGUUUCAUACAGUUUCACUCCUAGUUCUCAAACCCUGUCAUUCAACAACUUAUACUGCACUGGGACUUUCACAGGAACAGGUCGACAGUGACAGGGCUGGUGUGUGACAGGAAAAAGCUUCAUGUGGCAGGUGUCUCCUUAAAAUGGAUUACUGUUAAGGAGACAAGAAGAAAAUACACCUGCCUUCCUUCUCACUGGGACUGUAAUAUACUCUGAGUAACACACCGGACAAACCAAGGAGUUUCACUAAAGGAGUGUAUUAAGACUGAGGAGUGGAUUCAAAACAGUGACUCUAAAAUUUGAUCAGAUAUGUCUAACCCACCUCACACGACUGUUACAAAGGGUGAAGCAUUGCCACUGACCACCACAGCAGGGUCAGGUGACACCUGCAUUCAAAUAGCCAGCAGCCUUGGACAGCAUCCUCCGUUCUGCAGGGAUGACAAGUACCACAGGAAACUGGCAAUCGGCAGCAUCAUCUGCGGGAUCACUUGCAUCGGAAUCACAGCUCUGAUAAAUUCAGUCAAGGCUGAGACAGCAACAGAUCCAGAGUCAAUGACCAAGUUUUCACAACGUGCAAGAAAAUUUGGCAUCAUCUCUAUUGUGGUGUGGGUUUCCCUUCUGGCUUUAAUCCCCGUGCUGAUGGCACUGUUCUCAUAUCUUGCCACUCUGAAAAACUGAUCAACUUUGAUAAACCUCUGCAGAAAGCAGCUAACGAAGUGGCUCCUCAGAUUUUGGAUGUUUAUGGAGACAGACUGUGGACAGUACAAAGCUGCUUAUCAAUGACUAAAAACCC